rnacentral:rRNA from 1 species
CCUACGGGGGACAGCAGUGAGGAAUAUUUGUCAAUGGGCGCGAGCCUGAACCAGCCAAGUAGCGUGAAGGAUGACUGCCCUACGGGUUGUAAACUUCUUUUAUAAAGGAAUAAAGUGAGGCACGUGUGCCUCUUUGUAUGUACUUUAUGAAUAAGGAUCGGCUAACUCCGUGCCAGCAGCCGCGGUAAUACGGAGGAUCCGAGCGUUAUCCGGAUUUAUUGGGUUUAAAGGGAGCGUAGAUGGGUUGUUAAGUCAGUUGUGAAAGUUGGCGGCUCAACCGUAAAAUUGCAAUUGAUACUGGCAGACGUGAGUACAGUUGAGGUAGGCGGAAUUCGUGGUGUAGCGGUGAAAUGCUUAGAUAUCACGAAGAACUCCGAUUGCGAAGGCAGCUUACUAAACUGCCACUGACAUUGAUGCUCGAAAGUGUGGGUAUCAAACAGGAUUAGAUACCCGGGUAGUC